CCUACGGGAGGCAGCAGUGAGGAAUAUUGGGCAAUGGACGAGAGUCUGAACCAGCCAAGUAGCGUGAAGGAUGACUGCCCUAGGGGUUGUAAACUUCUUUUAUAUGGGAAUAAAAUGUUCCACGUGUGGGAUUUUGUAUGUACCAUAUGUAUAAGGAUCGGCUAACUCCGUGCCAGCAGCCGCGGUAAUACUGAGGAUCCGAGCGUUAUCCGGAUUUAUUGGGUUUAAAGGGAGCGUAGGUGGAUUGGUAAGUCAGUUGUGAAAGUUUGCGGCUCAACCGUAAAAUUGCAGUUGAAACUGGCAGUCUUGAGUACAGUAGAGGUGGGCGGAAUUCGUGGUGUAGCGGUGAAAUGCUUAGAUAUCACGAAGAACUCCGAUUGCGAAGGCAGCUCACUGGACUGCAACUGACACUGAGGCUCGAAAGUGUGGGUAGCAAACAGGAUUAGAUACCCUAGUAGUC
rnacentral:rRNA from 1 species